rnacentral:rRNA from 1 species
AAAGGAAUAGACGGGGGCCCGCACAAGCGGAGGAACAUGUGGUUUAAUUCGAUGAUACGCGAGGAACCUUACCUGGGCUUAAAUGUAGAUUGAUUGAACCGGAAACGGUUUUUUCCUUCGGGACAAUUUACAAGGUGCUGCAUGGUUGUCGUCAGCUCGUGCCGUGAGGUGUCGGGUUAAGUCCCAUAACGAGCGCAACCCUUGCCGUUAGUUGCCAUCAGGUAAAGCUGGGGACUCUGACGGGACUGCCACCGUAAGGUGCGAGGAAGGUGGGGAUGACGUCAAAUCAGCACGGCCCUUAUGUCCAGGGCUACACACGUGUUACAAUGGCCGGUACAAAGGGCAGCUACCCCGCGAGGGGAUGCGAAUCUUCAAAGCCGGUCUCAGUUCGGAUUGGAGUCUGCAAUUCGACUCCAUGAAGCAGGAUUCGCUAGUAAUCGCGCAUCAGCCACGGCGCGGUGAAUACGUUCCCGGGCCUUGUACACACCGCCCGU